rnacentral:tRNA from 1 species
AGGCAUGUAGCUCAGUGGUAGAGUGCCCGCUUCGGAUGUGUGAGGUCCCGGGUUCAAUACCUGGCAUCUCCA